UCAGCCAAUGUGAAGAUUAAGUCAAGC
rnacentral:piRNA from 1 species